rnacentral:rRNA from 1 species
AUUGAACGCUGGCGGCAUGCCUAACACAUGCAAGUCGAGCGAGCGGCGGACGGGUGAGGAAUGUGUAGUAAACUGCCCGAUAGAGGGGGAUAACUACAGGAAAAGGUAGCUAAUACCGCAUACAAUCAGAUUUAGCCAUAUGAGAUUAGCUUGUGGGUGGGGUAAUGGCUCACCACGGCGACGAUGCCUAGCUUGUCUGAGAGGAUGAUCAGCCACACUGGGACUGAGACACGGCCCAGACUCCUACGGGAGGCAGCAGUGGGGAAUAUUGCACAAUGGGCGCAAGCCUGAUGCAGCAAUGCCGCGUGUGUGAAGAAGGCCCUAGGGUUGUAAAGUACUUUCAGUCGGGAGGCGUUACCGACAGAAGAAGCACCGGCUAACUCCGUGCCAGCCGCCGCGGUAAUUC